GAUGAACGCUGGCGGCGUGCCUAAUACAUGCAAGUCGAGCGAACGGACGAGAAGCUUGCUUUUCUGAUGUUAGCGGCGGACGGGUGAGUAACACGUGGAUAACCUACCUAUAAGACUGGGAUAACUUCGGGAAACCGGAGCUAAUACCGGAUAAUAUUUUGAACCGCAUGGUUCAAAAGUGAAAGACGGUCUUGCUGUCACUUAUAGAUGGAUCCGCGCUGCAUUAGCUAGUUGGUAAGGUAACGGCUUGCCAAGGCAACGAUGCAUAGCCGACCUGAGAGGGGGAUCGGCCACACUGGAACUGAGACACGGUCCAGACUCCUACGGGAGGCAGCAGUAGGGAAUCUUCCGCAAUGGGCGAAAGCCUGACGGAGCAACGCCGCGUGAGUGAUGAAGGUCUUCGGAUCGUAAAACUCUGUUAUUAGGGAAGAACAUAUGUGUAAGUAACUGUGCACAUCUUGACGGUACCUAAUCAGAAAGCCACGGCUAACUACGUG
rnacentral:rRNA from 1 species